AGGGAUUUAGCUCAGCAGCAUAAGCACCUGCCUUGCAAGCAGGUGGUCGAGUUCGAUUCCCAGUACCGA
rnacentral:tRNA from 1 species